UUAACAAAGAGUUUGAUCCUGGCUCAGGACGAACGCUGGCGGCGCGCCUAACACAUGCAAGUCGAACGGAGUUUGUUGGAUUGAUCCUUCGGGAGAUUGAUAGCAAACUGAGUGGCGGACGGGUGAGUAACACGUGAGCAACCUGCCUUUCAGAGGGGGAUAACGUCUGGAAACGGACGCUAAUACCGCAUAACAUAAGAGGAGGGCAUCCUUCUUUUAUCAAAGGAGCAAUCCGCUGAAAGAUGGGCUCGCGUCCGAUUAGGCAGUUGGCGGGGUAACGGCCCACCAAACCGACGAUCGGUAGCCGGACUGAGAGGUUGAACGGCCACAUUGGGACUGAGACACGGCCCAGACUCCUACGGGAGGCAGCAGUGGGGGAUAUUGCACAAUGGAGGAAACUCUGAUGCAGCGACGCCGCGUGAAGGAAGAAGGUCUUCGGAUUGUAAACUUCUGUUGUCAGGGACGAUAAUGACGGUACCUGACGAGAAAGCCACGGCUAACUACGUGCCAGCAGCCGCGGUAAAACGUAGGUGGCAAGCGUUGUCCGGAAUUACUGGGUGUAAAGGGAGCGCAGGCGGGCUGUCAAGUUGGAAGUGAAAUCUAUGGGCUCAACCCAUAAAUUGCUUUCAAAACUGAUGGUCUUGAGUAGUGCAGAGGUAGGCGGAAUUCCCGGUGUAGCGGUGGAAUGCGUAGAUAUCGGGAGGAACACCAGUGGCGAAGGCGGCCUACUGGGCACUAACUGACGCUGAGGCUCGAAAGCAUGGGUAGCAAACAGGAUUAGAUACCCUGGUAG
rnacentral:rRNA from 1 species